GCCGGAGUGGCGGAACUGGUAGACGCAAGGGACUUAAAAUCCCUCGGGUUUAGGCCUGUGCCGGUUCGAGUCCGGCCUCCGGCA
rnacentral:tRNA from 1 species